GAGCAUUGUUGGAGAUUAAUAAAGAAUAUAUAGAUUUGUGAAUGGUUGAGGGAGUCUAUGGAAUUCUGCUUUUGAAGAUCACUGAACCUUGAAUGACUUAAACAUCUGGAUGAGACAUAAGAUUACAUCCCUCCAGCAGAAGACAAAGGCAAUCCAGAAAUCCACUAGCUGAUGGAUUCCUGCAGAGCUGAGUGUUUUUGGCCUCCUGGAAUUCAGCAAUUGGCUUUCAUACUUCAAGCUCCCAUUGGCUCUAAGGAGAAAAUGCAAAUAAUUAACACUGAAGUAAGAAGCAUUUCACCUCAGACUCCUCCUGCUGGGUUAACAGACAUCUCACAGAAAGAGAGCUCUUUGGGAGUGUCUCACUAGGUGUCAUUAUUGAUUAGUGACACCUAUUCUCUUAGGAAAGCCUUGGGAAAUGUACAGCUUCAAGGGGGUUUGAUAAUUAGGGAUGAAGUUUUCAGUUGCUUUUUGUCUAAAUUUGUUAACUGAGCUGUUAAGCGAUGAGAUGCCCAUUAGAAGGCUUCCCUGGGAAGCCUCCCUGUUACUCACCCUCAGUAGCCAGCCAUUCUCCUCCCAUGACUCACUAUACCCUUCAUGUUUUAAAUGACUCCUCCUCAAUUUCCAUCACAACACUGCCAGGGGCACAGUGUCAUCUCACGACUUGACUUGUAACCAGAAUCAGCACCAGUUAAUUAGAAUGAUGGAUAGCUAGUUAUCCUUAAGUAACCCGAUUAUCCAAUUCCUCUAUGUUGAUUAUACCUGCUUUGAUUUUAAAUAGCCCAUUGGCUAUUUAAUAUUUAAUAUUUAAAUAUAUCAGAUUAAAAAAACCCUGUGUCAUAUUUAUAAAUGAGGUAGUUGUGAGUUUUAGUCUUUUAAGAUAAGAUAUGACAUUCAGCAAAGUCUAUUGUGUUAAAAACUGAAAAGUCAAUCCUGUUUCCUCCAGGCAGGCUUCAGAUGUCCUACAUCUUUGUAAUUGUUCAAGGUAUAUCACAUAUGCUAAGCACACACAAGAGAUUCUGCACACACCAGUGAAUUUUGUGCAUACUGAUGGAAAUCAGGUACUAGAUGGCAUAAAAUGUGGAUGUCAUAGAUGAGAACCAAAUAACAUAUUUUAUUCUUUGUAGCUUGUAACAAUACAUUCUUGGUCCCUAAAUAUCAAGUCGAGGCCAUUCCUGGUAGUAAUAAGACCAUAGAAAAGGACAGAUGGAAAUGAAAAUCUUUUUAUGGUCCCUGAAAUUUUUUCCACAGAAGAAGCUGGCUUUCAAAUUACAGCUUCUUUAGACUUCAGUGUGGGGAUCUUUUUGUUUUCUUCUACUCAUUCCGGAAAUCUAGCCUCCCCAAUGUCUUCUAAUACACACCUAUUCUAAUGACUAUAUUCCUACUUUCAAUGGACAUGUUCUAGGUUUUGUGUCUUCUCUAUAAAUGAUACUAAAAGAUAGAACUACUGAUUCUCUUCCUCCUAUGAUUGAGAAAAACACUUACCACAGAAACAUGGUCUUAGCACAUAAGCACACCUGGGAUUCAUAGAGGAAGAGCAUCUGAGACAUGUAGCAUUCACUUUCAAACCUACAGUAGCAAAGACCUCCCUUCCCCAGUGAUUAAAAUUUUCUGCAAUAUCACUCCUAAGCUACACAAAAAUCAGAGACAAAUGUUAAAAAUGAAGAAGAUCAAAAUAUGGAAAAGAUACUCAAUUUGACUUGAGGCUAGAUGCAAACAUGUCACUUUUUCUCAUGAAGUAAUAGCAUCUUCAGGACAAUGCCUGUAAAUUGAUUAGGCACCGCAAUAGCCAGCCAACAGGAAGAACAGAGGAGAGUCAAUAAAUGUUAAGUGAUCUCUAGCCAGACCUCUUGCUUACCUGAAGCUGGCAUCACAGCCUUAAUGGGAAGGUGUCUGUUAGCAACUUAUAGCUCAAUAUGGGAUACUGCAAGUCUCCAGCAGAUCUGAAGUCCUCCUACUGAGGAAUUCCCAAAACAAAGUUCAUCCUUGGGUCCUAGAGAGUCCCCAAACAUUCAUUCAUCUAGAUGAAUCAAAAGAAAUUCACUUCACAGUUUUGGAAACAGGGACUCUUUGGUUGUAAUUAUAUUACUAACAAAAGCAGGUCAGUCCUGCCUGAAGUGACCUGAGUUUCCCACACUCAGUCUGGCCUUUGUGAAUGGAUAGUUGUCGACCUGUGUCAGGAAGAACAAGAAUAGGCAAACAGAGUUUGGUUUCUUGUUGUAUUUCUGUGUUAGAAUUCCUGUAUGGAUUCUGAGAGAAGUUGAACUUAUUUAAGUAUUUGGUUCAAAAUUUAAAUCUUUAUCUUUACACACAUGGAGUGCCAUUUUCUUCCAUGGAAAAGCUUUCCUUUGGUUUCCGUCCUUCUCCACUUGGCUCACUGGGGAACUCUGGGUGACAUGGAUCCUACAUUGGAAAGAAUAGAGUUUGUUAUUCCUGCUAAGCUCCUUGAUGUCUUAAGGAUCUUGGCAUCCGGGGGAAAUACCCUGUCAUUUGUUAUUGUUGUAUUCCUUUAUUCUUCUAGUUUUCUUGAGUGCUGUGUUUAUUUUAACGACAAGGACAAAAUAUUGGGAUUUGUUAGAAUAUCCUGCCAAUAGAAAGCACAUGCAGAACAUAAAAAUCCUGGAUGCAGGACCCUGUAGCCUCCUCCUCCUCCUCCAAACUCAAAGCCAGGGAAGGAUGAAGGAGGACAAAGAGCAGCCGAGCUGUGGGGAGAAGAAGAAGAGAAGCAUAAUGUGAGCAGGCCUGUUCUAGAAUGCACUUCAUAGCUCCUUCUUAUUUUGUCUUCACUUUAAGUUGGAGAAACUGAGCCAAUUGUACAAUCCCAUCAGUGAGACUGAGACUUCCAGGUCAUUUGGAACUACAUAGCGAGUAUGAAGAGACCCUCCUUGCCAUAAAAAAUAAUUCAUAUCAACUUUCUGAAGCAUGGUGUUCUUCCGUAGAAACAAAAUAGUAAAAAAAAAAAAUAAUAACCCAGUCUUGGAUCCCUACCCACAGCCUCCAUUUAAGGACUUCAAUCAUCUCUGAGUACUCACUCCUCUGAGAAGUUUUCCUGGUAGAGAGCUGCUUUUUCUCCCUUUGUUAAUUCACUUGCCUUAAGACAUAGUGUUGAUGGCAGCUCAUUCAGCCUGACCUUCCAAGUUGCCCCAGGCACAGGACUGUUUAUGUCCCAGUUGGCCUUACAUCCUCCUCGCCUGUUGUUGUAGAGUUCUGGGUGUGCAUGGGUGGUGGCAGGGUGGCGAUGGAUGUGGGGCUAGUUUUCACGUGGACAGUGACUCUGUGUCUAUCUUGGCAAAGAUGCCCCCUUCCCAAGUCUGAUAACUUGCACUUUUCAUUGCCUUCCAAAAUCAAUGGCACUUGUACUUUAUUAUGUGUGCAUAAUUUAGUUUUCAUUUUCUAAGAGGACUUUCAAGUGGCAUAAGAUUCAACACCAUCAUGGCUGACCAUGUUUAUAUGAUAUAAAUGUGAAGACAGUUGAGAAAUAAAUGUGGCCAAGGCAACCUGG